AGUACAGCGAGUACCGUUGGCGUGGUAAGUUCAGUUGUUGAAGUGUUUUCUUUACUUUGAACUAUAGUUUCAAUUUUCUCUGUACAAAUGUUUGAAAUAUGUUGGUGAUUCAAAAAUCACGCAAUCGUUCAUUUUUUAUGUUUCCAAUUGAUUUAUGAUCGUGUUGUGGCACACAUCCGUGCUUGGCUACUUGUCUUGCUCUCCAUAUUAAACAAUGAACAUUUAUUUUAUGCGUUUAUAACUACAAUACGCACCAGUGAAGUAUCUUUUAUUUGAUUCAACGAGCAAUUUAAUUGUGCAAUGUCAUCAGUUAUAAGAGGGACAACGAUGAUUGAAGUGCUUUCGAACGCAAAACAUUCCCAACAAAUGAUAUCAAUUAAAAUGAAUUGUGUGCAAACAAAUUAGUGCGCUGUAUUAUUAUUGGUGUUGUAGAAUGAAUGAGCUUCCAAGACUCGAGCUAAAAUCUUUAUUUAGAACGAUGUUCGUUUGAAGUGAUAAUUUUAUUUGCAAUGGAAAAAAGAGUCGAUUUUUUGCAAUGAAUUUAAUGUUGAUAUACUCGAGAGCGCAAUGCAUAUUUAUUCAAUAUUUAGAGCAAACUCAAUCUAUUCAUAAACAAUCAGUGUUUUGUACAGUAGUGAAUGCAUUCAGCUUACGAUAAAAACUAGACAAUCAAAUUUAUAGGAUGUAUUGUGAUGGUUGACAGUAGAAUAACGUUUUGGACUUUUAAUGUCCCCUCUAUCAUGACGACGACGCAGUAGACAAAAUACCGAGAAACACGACGCAAAUGAAUAAUGUUAAGCGGCUACAUCAAAUUACACCGUCAUGCUUUUGAGACAAACUCAUUGUCAAUGAGUCAUUGAUAAGAUUUUAUUUUUUUCUUUGAUGAUCUUCAACCAAACAAUUAUGCACUAAAGAUAAAACUUCUGUUGAAAUUGAUUGAGAAUAGUGUAAUUAAUUGCAAUCGGACGUAAAAUGCAAUACUUACGAAAUGCUACGGUACUAUGUGUGUGUAUAUAAAGAUACUUCUUCAAGAUAACUCUUUAAGUUCUACUUCAUUCAGCCUUGGCGGUGUUGAUAAAAUAAUAAUAAUAUUUACGCGCAACAUUAUUGUGAUUCUAUUGCGAUGAUUUUGUUUUUCAUUCAUUCAAAUUCUCUUUUUCGUUGUGUGUUUUCAUUGCAAGUGUAUGCGGCACGUGUAAUGCGAGUCAUCGAGUAAAAUUGUCUGUAUGGCUGGUGCGGUGUAUCACCGAGUGUCAUCAUAGUCAGGGAUUCGUAUUAUUCAUCGUACAAAACAAACACAUGCAACAUUCACGAUAUACAACCACACAAUGUGAAGUAUGUAUUGAGCGGCAAACAAUUACAUCAAAGCUUGGGAAUCAUUGAGUGUGGGAUUUUUGAUUCAGUAUAGCGAGUUUCGUUCGCGAGUUACGAGUAACGUAGAAAUAUUGAAUAGACUGUUCAAAAUAGUUGGAGAGUCACUGUGACGUCGACAUACCGCCUAAUUCAUAGCGCAUUAGCGCAGUCAUUCAGUUAUUAACGACUCAUUUCUUCGACUGUGAUUAUUUUGAGAUGUCCUUCGAAAAAUUGGACGAAUUUUGUGGCACUUCUAAGUUCUGGGAUUUGAGUGUCACAUGGUAUACGAAUGAUCCCGACCUUACACCGUGCUUCCAACAA